rnacentral:misc_RNA from 1 species
GUUGUUACGAUCUGCUGAGGGUAAGCCGUCCUUCGCCUCGAUUUCCCCAAUGGGUUCUCCGGAUUUCUGGAGACUUGUAGGGGUUGUGGGAUUUUUGAUGUGUCGUCUCCGGACGGGCGGUGCAGGGUAGUCGAGUUAGACUUGGUGGAAUUCCGUCGAUAGGAGUUCCGUCGAGUCUGGUCGGCUGUGUGUUGGACGGUGCAGGGUAGGCUGCUUGGACAUGGUCGGUUCGAGGAUCGAUUCGAGGGCCGGCCUGUCGAUGAUGUGUGAUGUAUGCGGUCUAGGGUAGGCUGGUUUGUCUUGGUCCAAUUUGAUGUCGGCUCCCGUGCAGGCCAGAGUGAGGGGGGUCCAUGGUAGGUACAGGGUAGGCAGCUUAGAUUUGGUCGAUCUGGAGGUCGAUUCUCCGGCUGGCGGAUCUGACACUGUCGAAACGAGGUGCGAGCGGUGUAGGGUAGGCUAGUUUCGUCCUCGCCAGGUUGCGAUUUGGACGAGAUAUGUGGUCUAGGGUAUGCUCUAGGGUAAGUAGAAUUCGUGUUUCGUCGCCGACAGUUUUCUGUGGGUGUGUGGUAGGUACAGGGUAGGCAAAUCUCUCUCCGGCCAGUACUUGUCUGGUGGUCGUGAGUCGAUUUUUUUGUUUUGCCAUACUAUUGAAUUUUGCGGAAAUUCAAAAGUGGCUCGGGAGUCCCGCCUGGCGUGCGUCCGACUCGAACGUCGUCGGUGUACAUAUGAGAGGGAGUAAUCCGGCCCGGCCGGGGCCCAUCGCGAGCUGCCGGGUAGGUAAAAGUAAAAAAGUUGUUAAGAGGCGCGGUGUCGGCGUGCUUGUAUUUGCGGGAGAGAAUUAUCUGGAGGUGCUGGGUAGCCGGGAAGACUUGGACGGAUCUGGCCCGGGAAUGGGUCUGGGCCUGGAUUCUGGUGUGGUGUAGGGUAGGCGUAGAUAGAUGAGUGGUCUAGGGUAGAUACAGGGUAGCCAGACGUCUAGUAUAUAGUAUGGGGGUGUAGGGUAGGUCUGGACACCGUUUUCCACUUCGCCCUUCCCUUUAGUCGAGGGAGGACGAUCUUGGCUGGGACGGAGGUGUAGGGUAGGCUUAAUUAACGAUUACAUGAUCUGUGUCACUCUAGGGUAGGUGAAAAUCCCAUAUAUAUCUGAUCAGAUUUGGCGAAGAGGUGGUUUGGCUGGUGAGAUGGACAAAAGUGCAAUGUAGAAUUAUAUGUGAUUUUGCAAAAGUGGGUGUGAAAUUGGGAAAUCGGUUUUCCCGCACAGAUAAGAGCACGUUUGAGGUGCCAUGAGAUGCACCUCUCCGAGACGACCUCGACGGUACCACCGAUGUGUUGGUCAGGCUCCUGUGCGGCCGUCCAGGGCGGGAUAAGUAGAGAAUGAGGUGGUGUAGGGUAGGUGGCCAGGUCCAGGGUAGGUUCGCCAAAUCCGUCAAUCCGGCUUGAAUGGAAGGACAGGUCUAGGGUAGGCCAGAGUCGGGUCUAGGGUAGGCAACUCUCACCCUCGAAGUGGUCUACCCGGUAGCCAACUUCAAUCGCCUCUCACGGCCGCCACGGAUCUCGUAUGACGACGGGACUACCACCAUCGGAUUCGCCUUGGUCGAAAUAGCUGGUAUAUGCACUUUUGAAAAAAUGCGUGCAAAAUGGUUUUGUGGUUUGGUGGUCGUGAGUCGAUUUUUUUGUUUUCCCAUACAAAUGAAUUUUGCGGAAAAUAAAAAGUGGCCCACGAGGCAGUCCUGGCGUGCGGCCCACUAAAACGGUCUCGGAGGGUAUAUGAGAAGGGAGCAAAUCCGGCCGAGCCUGAAAGGGUGAGGACAAACCGGGCGAGCAACCUCUCAGUAUCAGAUCUUGCAGACUUCCACUGCGUGUCCCUCUGUACAGCUUUGCAGGCUCCGGCCUCGGCAGCGGGGGGUUCAUAGUGGUCGUCGACCUCCACGAAACUGCACGCUCCGGCGUGACAGCGUACUGGGGAUGCCUGUGUAGAUGCAGUCCGGGCUUGCCUGGACCG